GGCUGGAACAGGUGUGAUAAAGAAUACUUUCAACCAACUAACUUUUGCGAAUUUCGUGAUUAAAAUAACGCGAACGUAAAUCGCCGCGAAUAUGUUAAACUUUGAUCUUCCUUAUUUUAACUUCAUCAAGCCAAUUUGAAAAUCGCGAAAUUGGCUAGUAUGGGCUUAACGCGGAAUAAAGUAUUCGAGAAAAUAAGUUGGUUUACAGUAAUCAAUAGAACAAAAAUACAAUCUGUAUUGACCUCUUUCACUUAACUGUCGACUAGAACAGUAGACAUACUAUGCAUCUUAUAUUUAUUUGUCGUAUUUUAAAAUAAUAUGUCAUUGACGUACUGUGCAACAACUAAAAAGGAAUUCAUUAAAAAACAGAACAAAAGCUAAAUGAAAAGUCAAAUGAAACAUGAUUUUUAGAAACAUUGACAUUGACAAAUGUUUACAUACCUGUUUAUUUUACAGCACAUAAUGAACUUUGAGUAUUAUUUUGAAA
rnacentral:lncRNA from 1 species